AUGACUUUUGAUAUCUUCUGGUCAGUCUACAUAGAUGGGGACCAGUGUGCAGAGAAGCCGUGUAAGAAUGGAGCCAUGUGCUCAGACAGCGUGGGGGGAUACGACUGUGUCUGCAAGUCAGGCUUCUUUGGAGUCCACUGUGAGACAGAUCAGACAGUGUGUAUGUUGGACAAGACCAAGGGCUGCAGUCAGUUCUGUAAGCCAGGAUACCAGUCCUAUGAGUGUUCCUGUGCCCGUGGCUGGAAACUAGAGGAGAAGGAGAGGGUGAAGUGUAUGCCUGCAGUGACAUUCCCCUGUGGGAAGGUGAACAGCCUAAGCCAGUGGACAAAGAGACAGUCAACCAACAUCGCCAGCAACUUUGAGGGACUAGCCUGCAACUCUGGAGAGUGUCCCUGGCAGGCCAUUCUGAAGAGUACAGAGUCUGUAGGGUUCUGUAGUGGUGUCAUUCUGAAGGAGAACCUGGUUCUAACUACAGCCCAGUGUGCCCAGAAAUAUGUCAACUUCCAGGUGGCUGUCGGCAAACGCCUAACCGCAUCUGAAGAUGGCGAACAGACGCUCUAUGUCCAAGUCGUCCACGUCCACCCCGCUACGUACCCGGUCGCCCUGACAACGACCUGGCCGUCCUCGAGCUCCGCGAGCGCAUCGUCUAUAAGAAACAUGUGGUCGCUGCCUGCUUGCCCGAACGUGACUUUGCAGAGGUCGUCCUGAUGACUGGCGAGUAUCCGGCCGUGGUCACUGGCUGGAAGGACCCCGUGGACGCCACGGAGGUCCAAGGCCCGCUCACUCUCAACCACCUGGCAUAUGAGCGUUUGCCCCAGUGUGGGAGAGGCACCCGGGGUUGGUCACCAACAAGAUGGGCUGUACGACGGUGAGACCCAAGGGUGACUGCAUCCUGGGGCCGGGGAGUCCCAUCCUAUCUCUCCACAGGGAGGUGUUCUAUCUGACCGGGGUAGUCUCCAGACCAGCAGGGGCAGACUGUAGUCAGGGUUACAUCUACCAGAAGGUGUCCCGUUUCCUGCUCUGGCUGCAGCCCCUCAUGGACUCACGCUAAGGGGGCUCUGAAUCCCAAAUCAACCACUAGUCCCCACCCCCUAUGCAGUAGGUUAGAUCUGAGAGGAUUGGAAAGAUGUCCUUUAAGCUAUAUGGCGCCAAUUCCCGUCUGGCCUAUCAGAAGGCCAGAUGGAGCUACCUACUGGUCCAAUCAUCUCAGAUCUAUAUAAGUGCUUUGUGACUAGGGGUUUGGGAUUCAGGGGUAGUGAUCAGGGGGAGGGAGGGUACAGGGAAGAGAGGGAGAGGUUGAGGGGGUUAGGAGAAUAAUUGUGAGGGUUGAUGGUAUUGGACAAAGGCUUAAAUGGAUAGGAAUUAGGGAAGACAAGACAGGGAGAACGGAGGUGACACUGUCAAGGAAAUAAAUAAAUGAAGGAUAUUGUAAUAUUGGAUAGAGGUGGAAAGGGAUAGGGGUCAUGUGGGAGGAGAAGAGGAGGGAGGGAAGAAAGCUGAACAGGGAGCAUGAUGAAGGAGGGAAAACACAACGUAAAGAGAGGGCCAGAGAAAAUGGGGGAAAUGGAGAUGCAUUCCGUUUGUGUAACAUACCGUACUCUUAUCUUAGGUCCUUUUUCAUUGGAAGGGUCUGGUUGUCCGUAUGGCUGAUGUCUUUUGCUUAAAUUAUUUGUUGUCUUUUAAUUUUUCAAAAUAAUAAUUAGGCCUAUAAGUUGAUUUCCACCUAUCGUAUAGUAUAUGAGUUGGGGGUACUUGAGAAGACUCAUGAGACCAUAAGCUUACUGGUAAAAUGUACGUGCGGGGGUAUUUCAGGGGUUCUCUAGGCAAAGCAAAAUUCUGUUGAUGGUACAGUUAGCGAAAAAGGUUGGGAACCACUGCCCUAAUGAACACAACCCACAUCUGUGUAGUUCUCUGUUUAUCCCACAAGGUGGCGGUCUUUACAUUAAAAUACUAUUGUAUCAUGUGCUACCAAAUAUAGUACCUGGCUGACUGCAGAUAGACUAGGGGAACGUUAAAUAAUGCAGCAUGCGUGUUCUGUUGCUCUUGUCUUACUCUUAACUGAUGUUCUUUUCUUGGAGAGAAGGGUUGGUAAUUGCACUGUAUACUUUUUAAUGUUAAUCACUUUACUAAGAAUGUAUUAAUAAAAGUUCACCUCUGA